rnacentral:rRNA from 1 species
AUUGAACGCUGGCGGCAGGCUUAACACAUGCAAGUCGAGCGAGCGGCGGACGGGUGAGGAAUGUAUGGGAAACUGCCUGAUGGAGGGGGAUAACUACUGGAAACGGUAGCUAAUACCGCAUACCAUCAGAUGUGCCCAGGUGGGAUUAGCGAGUAGGUGGGGUAAUGGCUCACCUAGGCGACGAUCCCUAGCUGGGCUGAGAGGAGGACCAGCCACACUGGAACUGAGCCACGGUCCAGACUCCUACGGGAGGCAGCAGUGGGGAAUAUUGCACAAUGGGCGCAAGCCUGAUGCAGCCAUGCCGCGUGUGUGAAGAAGGCCUUCGGGUUGUAAAGCACUUUCAGCGAGGAGGCGUUACUCGCAGAAGAAGCACCGGCUAACUCCGUGCCAGCAGCCGCGGUAAUUC